rnacentral:rRNA from 1 species
AGAGUUUGAUCCUGGCUCAGAACGAACGCUGGCGGCAGGCCUAAUACAUGCAAGUCGAGCGCCCAGCAAUGGGAGCGGCGGACGGGUGCGUAACACGUGGGAACGUACCCUUCGGUUCGGAAUAACUCAGGGAAACUUGAGCUAAUACCGAUUACGCCCGAAAGGGGAAAGAUUUAUCGCCGAAGGAUCGGCCCGCGUUCGAUUAGCUAGUUGGUGGGGUAAUGGCUCACCAAGGCAACGAUCGAUAGCUGGUUUGAGAGAACGACCAGCCACACUGGGACUGAGACACGGCCCAGACUCCUACGGGAGGCAGCAGUAGGGAAUCUUGGACAAUGGGGGAAACCCUGAUCCAGCCAUGCCGCGUGAGUGAUGAAGGCCUUCGGGUUGUAAA